rnacentral:rRNA from 1 species
GGGGAAUAUUGGACAAUGGGCGAAAGCCUGAUCCAGCCAUGCCGCGUGUGUGAAGAAGGUCUUCGGAUUGUAAAGCACUUUAAGUUGGGAGGAAGGGGUUGAAGCUAAUACCUUCAAUCUUUGACGUUACCAACAGAAUAAGCACCGGCUAACUCUGUGCCAGCAGCCGCGGUAAUACAGAGGGUGCAAGCGUUAAUCGGAAUUACUGGGCGUAAAGCGCGCGUAGGUGGUUCAGUAAGAUGGAAGUGAAAUCCCCGGGCUUAACCUGGGAACUGCUUUCAUAACUGCUGAGCUAGAGUACGGUAGAGGGUAGUGGAAUUUCCUGUGUAGCGGUGAAAUGCGUAGAUAUAGGAAGGAACACCAGUGGCGAAGGCGACUACCUGGACUGAUACUGACACUGAGGUGCGAAAGCGUGGGGAGCAAAC